UACAGAGGGUGCGAGCGUUGUCCGGAAUCACUGGGCGUAAAGGGCGCGUAGGUGGCGACCCAAGUCCAUGGUGAAAGCUCGAUGCUCAACAUCGAGUCGGCCACGGAUACUGGGUUGCUGGAGCACUGUAGAGGCAGAUGGAAUUCCGGGUGUAGCGGUGGAAUGCGUAGAGAUCCGGGAAGAACACCGGUGGCGAAGGCGGUCUGCUGGGCAGUUGCUGACACUGGAGGCGCGACAGCGUGGGGGAGCAAACAGG
rnacentral:rRNA from 1 species